rnacentral:lncRNA from 1 species
AAAAGGUUUAUAGUGGCCACAGGGAUAAGGGAAAGAAGUCUUUUGUACCUGGAAUUUUUGGAUUGGCUUCUUCCUCAUGCCAAUAAGGCACUGGGACAGUUGUCCUAUCAAAAAUUCACUUGGCCUGUCACUAGAUUUAAACUGUCCUACCAAAGACUCACUUGGUUUUAUGCCCGAUGUAAAUGAAACAUUGAAAAUAGCACUUCUGUGAUUGAUACCACAUACAGUGCUCAGGAACUCCAGAGUAAUUCUGAGACCUAUGUUCUGUACAUGUUCCCUAGGUUACCAGGAUUUUGGAAGAUUUUUCCCAGUUGUUUGGUUUGCCCCAGCCCUAAUCUCCUACCUCCAUGCUUCUACAUUGAAAAGUGCUGAAUACUUCUCAAACAUUAGCACAUCCUGUAGCCACCAGAUCAGGAUUAACCAAUUUCCAAUUGGGUCUGGCCAAAGAAAAGCACUGACAAGAGACUGGAAAAUAGGAGUACAACAGAAAGACUGAUGAACUAAUUCCCUUGGCUGCUCUUUGAUCAGUGACAUUGCAAGGCAGAAGGUCAUAGCUCCCUCCAGGAAGUCCUCUCCUAAUGUUACUGUUCCCCUGGUUUGACUUAGCCCUGCCUCUCCUUGAUUUUUUUCUUUCAUUUUUGAAAUGGGAAUAGCUUCAUGCUAUUGCUAGUUCUGUUGUCCUCAUCUCUUGUGAUUUCUGUAUACUGUAUCUUGUCACAUUGUCAGACUUCUCUAACUCUGUCCAGGGUGAGCAGAUCCCCCUAACUAGGUGCCGCAGAUGUAUAAGAAAAGUAAGAAAAACAUCAAACCACAAGAGCCAAAAUUCUGUGAGGGAGGGCCUCUGGCGCACGGGGAGCCACGGGUGGGGAGCGCCGGUCUUCCGGCUGGCUAGCUUCCUGCCUCGUCGGCCCCCAGAGAGAGGGCUCCCGGCGCACGGGGAGCCAUGCGGCGGCGGGCGCUAUUGCACACUGGCCCUUAGGCUGGCCGCCACUGCUCAAUUGAGAACUAUCAUGACACAGAGAAACA